rfam:Cricetulus griseus cell line CHO-K1, whole genome shotgun sequence.
AAGGAUGUAGUUCAAUUGGUAGAGUCUUUGCCUAGCAUUCAUAAAGCCCUGGGUUCAAUCCCCAGCAUAAUCA